AUUUAGGUAGUUUAAAGAAAAUCUUGGUUUGUGGUUCCAAAGAUGAUAGUUAUCCCUGAAUU
rnacentral:tRNA from 1 species